rnacentral:rRNA from 1 species
UACAGGGGGGGCAAGCGUUGUUCGGAAUUACUGGGCGUAAAGGGCUUGUAGGUGGCCAACUAAGUCACACGUGAAAUCCCCGGGCUCAACCCGGGAACUGCCCUCCAAACUGCUUGGCUUGAGUCCGGGAGAGGUGAGUGGAAUUCCCAGUGUAGCGGUGAAAUGCGUAGAUAUUGGGAGGAACACCAGUGGCGAAGGCGGCUCACUGGACCGGAACUGACGCUGAGGCGCGAAAGCGUGGGAAGCAAACGAG